rnacentral:rRNA from 1 species
UCCGGUUGAUCCUGCCGGACCCCACUGCUAUCGGGAUAGGACUAAGACAUGCUAGUCGAGUGAUUCAGGCAAAACGAGUCACGGCACACAGCUCAGUAACACGUGGCUAAUCUGCCCUUAGGACGAGAACAACCCCGGGAAACUGGGGCUAACUCUCGAUAGGCGAAGAACUCUGGAAUGAGUCUUUACCUAAAUAGUGCAACGUUAUCCUCGUUGCGUCGCCUAAGGAUGAGGCCGCGACCGAUCAGGUUGUUGGCGAGGUAAUGGCUCACCAAGCCUUUUACCGGUGCGGGCCGUGAGAGCGGGAGCCCGGAGAUGGGCACUGAGACAAGGGCCCAGGCCCUACGGGGCGCAGCAGUCGCGAAAACUUUGCAAUAAGCGAAAGCUUGACAGGGCUAUCCCGAGUGCCAUCCGCUGAGGAAGGCUUUUACCCAGUCUAGAACGCUGGGGGAAUAAGGAGAGGGCAAGUCUGGUGUCAGCCGCCGCGGUAAUACCAGCUCUCCGAGUGGUGUGGAUGUUUAUUGGGCCUAAAGCAUCCGUAGCUGGCUAGGUCAGUCCCUUGUUAAAUCCACCGAAUUAAUCGUUGGAUUGCGGGGGAUACUGCUUGGCUAGGGGACGAGAGAGGCAGACGGUAUUUUCGGGGUAGGGGUGAAAUCCUAUAAUCCCGGGAAGACCACCAGUGGCGAAGGCUGUCUGCUAGAACGCGCCCGACGGUGAGGGAUGAAAGCUGGGGGAGCGAACCGGAUUAGAUACCCGGGUAGUCCCAGCUGUAAACGAUGCAGACUAGGUGUUUGGACGGCCACGUGCCGUUCUAGUGCCGCAGGGAAGCUGUUAAGUCUGCCGCCUGGGGAGUACGAUCGCAAGAUUGAAACUUAAAGGAAU